CCUACGGGAGGCUGCAGUGAGGAAUAUUGGUCAAUGGGCUUACGCCUGAACCAGCCAAGUCGCGUGAGGGAAGACUGCCCUAUGGGUUGUAAACCUCUUUUGUCAGGGAACAAAGGCGGGGACUAGUCCCCGGAUGAGGGUACCUGAAGAAAAAGCAUCGGCUAACUCCGUGCCAGCAGCCGCGGUAAUACGGAGGAUGCGAGCGUUAUCCGGAUUUAUUGGGUUUAAAGGGUGCGCAGGCGGCCUGUUAAGUCAGCGGUAAAAGCCCGGGGCUCAACCCCGGCGAGCCGUUGAAACUGGCGGGCUGGAGUUGGAGAGAAGUACGCGGAAUGCGCGGUGUAGCGGUGAAAUGCUUAGAUAUCGCGCAGAACCCCGAUUGCGAAGGCAGCGUACCGGCUCCACACUGACGCUGAGGCACGAAAGCGUGGGUAUCGAACAGGAUUAGAUACCCCUGUAGUC
rnacentral:rRNA from 1 species